AUGUGAACGCUUCGGUUUCCUGUUGAGAACGCGACGGUUAUAAAAAUCUACACGUGAGCUCCCAGCCGUCACCACAAAGUCUGCCUGGACACCAGAUGAACGUGCAUUUAUGAGGUGCAGCGGAUGUGAGGGCGCGGAGGCCUAAGUUACGCUGCGAUGCCGUUCUGUCAGCUUCUCAGUUGUGGUCGCAGAGAAAGAACAGCCGGAAUGAAAGAAUGUCGCAGCUACAGCACAAAACAGAACCAGUCUACAGAAGACAUUAUUCCCAUCCGGAUCGUUCCCUGUCUCUGAGGCGGGUGCUUCUCCGUCUGACCUCUUACUUUGGACCUUCAAGCUUUUCAACAAAAUCAGGUUAGAGUCAGAUUUUCUCUGCUGUGGGCCCUUAAAGGAGA